rnacentral:rRNA from 1 species
AUUGAACGCUGGCGGCCGGCCUAACACAUGCAAGUCGAACGGAAGGCGGACGGGUGCGCAGUGUCUGGGAAACUGACUGAUGUAGGGGGAUAAGUACUGGAAACGGUAGCUACUACCACAUAACACCGUGUGUGCGCAGAAGGGAUUAGCUAGUAGGUGGGGUAAAGGCUGACCUAGGCGACGAUACCUAGCUGUUCUGAGAGGAUGACCAGCCACACUGUAACGGAGACACGGUGCAGACUCCUACGGGAGGCAGCAGUGGGGAAUAUUGCACAAUUGGCGCAAGCCUGAUGCAGCCAUGCCGCGUGUAUGAAGAAGGCCUUCGGGUUGUAAAGUACUUUCAGCGGGGAGGCGGUACCCGCAGAAGAAGCACCGGCUAACUCCGUGCCAGCAGCCGCGGUAAUUC